rnacentral:lncRNA from 1 species
UAGGUUAGAUUAGUUGUGGUUUUAAAUGGCAAGCAGAUAAAGUGGUCUUGGUCUCUUGAUGAUGUACUUAACCCACACAUAACACGAUCUAGAAAAAGUAAAUUUAAAAAAAAAAAAAAUUUAUAUAUAUAUAUAUCCUUACUUGAUCAGUGCUGCUAAUCAUUUGUUAAUAUGGUUUUUACUCAGUAAAGCGAGUGUGUUUGUUUGUGUUUAGAAAAUAAAAUUACUUUUUCAUAAAUACUUUCUGAAGUUUUAUAGUUUUAGCUUUGUUAGUUACACUUUUAGUCUCUAACAUGGAUUUGGACCAACAAAUCCCAUCAACCAAUUAUAAAACAUUAAAACUAAAAUAAAGUAGGAAAAACUAC